rnacentral:rRNA from 1 species
GACAGAGGUGCCAAGCGUUAGGCGGAAUCACUGGGCUUAAAGCGUGUGUAGGCGGAUAUCUAAGUACCUUGUGAAAUCCCACGGCUCAACCGUGGAACUGCUUGGUAUACUGGGUGUCUUGAGCCAUCUAGGGGCUACCGGAACAAAUGGUGGAGCGGUGAAAUGCGUUGAGAUCGGAAGGAACGCCCGUGGCGAAAGCGGGCGCCUGGACCCCACCUGACGCUGAGACGCGAAAGCCAGGGGAGCGAACGGGG